rnacentral:rRNA from 1 species
GUGUUCGGAUCGCGGCGAAGUGGGCGGUUCGCUGCCCGCGACGUUGUGAGAAGUCCACUGAACCUUAUCAUUUAGAGGAAGGAGAAGUCGUAACAAGGUUUCCGUAGGUGAACCUGCGGAAGGAUCAUUG